rnacentral:tRNA from 16 species
GAAUGGUAACGCAGCCCGUUGCAGGAUUUUAGGUUGUUGGUUCGAAUCCUGGU